UUAAACUGGAAGAUCUGGGUUUAGAGAAGAUUUAUCUGUUUUUUGAAUAAGUAAUUUUACUUAAAAAAAUAACUCAAUUCAAGUCUCCAACACAGCUCAAAGGCUAACACCUAUUUGCGACAUUGCUUUUCAGGUGAUUUUCUUCAGGGUGUGCUUUUGCAGAAAACUGGAAUUGAAUCAAGAUAGGAGCAGUCACUCAAAUGGUGAUUUUGGUGAAUCUUGGCUAGAUUCUACCUCUUCUACAGGCAGGACCCAGGGUUUUGCAGAAGAUAAUUGUGUCAAGCAGAGUGGACAGUGAGAGAGACAGAGAAAGGUCUUCCUUUGCCGUUGGUUCACCCUCCAAUGGCUGCCGUGGCCAUGGCGCUGCUGCUGGCACACCGUGCUGAUCCAAAAUCAGGAGCCAGAUGCUUCUCCUGGUCUCCCAUGCAGGUGCAGGGCCCAAGCACUUGGGCCAUCCUCCACUGCACUCCCUGGCCACAGCAGAGAGCUGGCCUGGAAGAGGGGCAACUGGGACAGAAUCCGGCACCCCGACUGGACUAGAACCCGUGUGCCAGCACCGCAAGGUAUGGUUCUGGCACCUGCACACAUUUCUAAGAGCAAAGAAAAUUAGUACUUCACCUGCUGACAUGGGGGUGAUACUGCUGUGUACCACAGGACCAAAGGGAAGGUAAGGGUGACUCUGGACAUCUUUUCCAUCUUGGCCUCCAGUGCUGGGCUACCUUUCUGUCCAUAAGUGAUAAAUUAUUUUAGUAAAAGUAGUUAGGAAAUCUCUGUGUGUGCUCUUGGAUAAAGUAUAUAUGAAAUGCAAUAAACCUAAUGAAAUAACUUUUGAUUUCCUAAAAUGGCAGCUUUGAAGACAAAGCCACACCAUUCUUGCAGACAGUAUUACAUUAAAAGAUGGCAUUCAAGGGACCAGUGUUGUGGUGUAGCAGAUAAAGUCACAGCCUGCAGUGCCUGCAUCUCAUAUGGGCAUCAGUUCAAGUCCCAGUGGCUCUACUUCUGAUCCAGCUCUCUACUGUGGCCUCAGAAAGCAGUAGAAGAUGGCCCAAGUUCUUUAGUCCCUGCACUCACAUGGGAGACCUGGAAGACACCCCUGGCUCCUGGCUUUAAUUGAGUUGGUAAUACUAUUAUUUAAAUAAUCUUCAACAUUCCACCUUUUCUAACUUUUUAAGGCCUCAUCUCUAUUACCACAGUCUACACCUGACAUUGUCUCAGACCCAGGCCCAGGGAGUUAUUGGUAUGGAGUCUCUAGAAAGUCAGUGGCAGUAACAUCAGCAGAAGCUGCAGACUACAGGGGCUGUAGGAACAGCAGUGUUCAUCCCUCAUGGACAGUGUUCUGCUUAACACUCUUGUGGAGGAAACAUCUUGAGCCAGGCUGCCCACUUGACUGGGUCCUUGGCCAGCUCCUUCUGCUAUUUUGUUGCAACCUGCAUCUCUCCUCAUAGCUUCUCCUGCUGUCUUGCCUCUGAACAGGCUGAUGGCUGCAGGCCACAGUUGGUCUCUGGGUUGGCCUAUAGUCCUUGUUGCUGGGAGCCAGGUUGAGAUUGUGAAGUUGGUCUCAGCUUAGCCUCCAGUAUGCAAAUGCACUACACAGGGCUGGUCUCCAACAGCCACACCCAUUUUCUUUAACUCUCUUCCCAGAAUGUUUCAGAGAGUCAAAACAGGGGAGUCCAUCAUGACUGGAUUCUUAGUGUGAGAGCAAGACCAGAAGCCCACAUGGAGGAAAGCAAAGCACAGCUGCUGGAGGCUGGGUGUGCUGCCACAGAUGGUGCUGCUUAGUCCAUGCAAUGCAUAGUGGAGAGGAUCAUCUGGGAGCUCCCCAGUUACAAUGCCAAGAAUGCUAUAGAUCUACUCUGAGGUGUACAAAUGGCAGGAAUUGGUGCUCACAGCCUUGAGGACACAAUUCAUACAAUCCAGGUCAUGGGUGGACCUGCAACAGGGAUCCUUCAAGUUGGUAUUACUGCGCACAGUAUUUGCACUCAAUUCAGUGGUGUUAGGGGGACCAUGGGCUUCAGAGAACAUGGUCCAAGUAUCAGGGGCACCUGUUAGCUUUCUGAAGCACUGAAGUUUGAAAGCACCAUGACUGAUGCACUGGAACACAAGUGCCUGCUUUCUGGGUGAGGCCUUGAACUUGGUCUUGCUGAUGAAGACUCCAACAAACACUCAUUCAUAGAACUUGUCCCUUACAUGAGCAGUGGCACCACAGAACACUGGCAGCAGCUGGUCUGGAGGUUCAAACUGCAAGAUGAUUCUCAGGGCCAUUUCGUGGCAGAUCCAACACUUGAAGGCUAUGGCACUGACUUGCUACAGCAGGUCUUUCAGCUGCUCCCUGCCAGCACCACCAUGUUUAUUCAGGUCAGGCACAGUAACCCUCCUUUGCUUGCAGCCUGCAAGGCUACAUCCAGGAAGGGGGCAGAGCUGCCUAGGGAUCCAAGCGGAUGACAUCAUGCAGCUCUGUUCACUACCCUCUGGAGCUGGUGAUACAGUGUUCAGGGUGGGACUGUAUCAGAUGUACUAUUUCAUUGAGCUUCAUAUGGCAGCAUAUGAGACUCAUGCAGGGGCAUCAUUGGUAACCACAGAUUGGAGCUGGGCACCUCUCAGAUGAUUCAAAUGCAUUGCCUCUAGAAGUGACAAGGCCCUGGAGCACUCUCAGGCAUCCCUCACAGAUUUCCCCUCACAGCAGCUGUUGAAGGUUGGUCUCCAGUCCCAGGUUUCCACACUCUUUUCGUUUGAGCCCUUUCCUCAGCUUACUCUGACUAGUCCACAACCUGCUUUUGUGGGCCCUUCCUGGCUAACAAGCUAGUUGAUCACAACCCACUUCAGAUCCCCAUGAAAUUCCUGUACAAGGUGCUAGAAGACCUUAUUGGUGGUGGGGAAGGUGAUUGUCACAACCCCUCAGUGUGUGGUGCCUCCUGAACUUCAGGUGGACUCUCUUCCAUGGAGCACUCCAUGCCUUUCUCCAUUGCUGCUGGAUUCAGUGAUGCUUGGGGAUGCCCCUGCAUAAACUGGGCUCUACAGAGACUUCUUUUGAAAAGUAGAAAACUGAAUUAGUCUCUGCACAUUUCCUCUGCUUCUGAAAUGUGAUGCAAUAAUGUAAUUAAAUAUACUUGAUGUGAUAACUAUUCUAGAAUAAUCAUUCAUGCAGUUUAAUUUUAAACAUAUAUAAUACUAUAUCAAAUAACCUUGUUAGGAUAAAGGCCUAUUGUUUUAAUAGAUCAAUAGUAAUAUUAUUUUUAAAUUUACAUUUUAAGACAGAGGAAUAUGAACAUACAGAGCACCAUCUGCUGGUUCUCUUAUAAAAUGCCCACAAUGGCCAGAGCUGGACCAGGAUUAAUUGGGAUCUUAGAAUUCAAUCCAGAAUCCUACUUGAUUGAGGGAAUCCAGUUUUUGAGCCAUCUCAUGCCACAUCCUGAGGGGUGCAUUAACAGGAAGCUACAGUUCAGAAUGGAAAUGUGACUCAAGCCCAAGAUAUGGAACACAAACUCUGAUAAAGAACUCAAACAUCCCAACUUAUGUGUUAUUUGCUAGAACAAAUGAUUAUCCUGAAAGCAUUUUUAUCUGUAACUUUUUCAUACAUUUUGCCUAUAGAAAUGUAGAAGCAAUGAAUACUCUCAUGGGUUUAAUAUUGCUGCUCUUUAUUACACGGAAAGGUUAUUUCUGCUUUGAUAUUUCUUUUUAAAUACUAUAUAUGAUUUUUAUCAUAAAGCUUUUUAUUUUAUGCACACAAAGUAAAUAGUAUCUAUGUAAUUUCUUUAAUUAUUUUCAUUAAAAAAUCUGUGCAUCCAAAAAUAUUAGCACAAGAUGUUUAUUGUGGAAUCAUAGUAAAUAUUGCAAGUACCUCUUAAAUUAUUUUUUUGUCUGAGAGUGAGAAACAAGCCAAUAGAUACAAACAGAAAGAGAGAUAGACAUCUCCCACACACGCGUUCACUCCUCAAAUGCCUACAAUAGCCCAGGUGAGGCUGGGACCAGAUGAGAAGUCAAUCUAGGUACCUACUUGCUUCAUCACUUGCUGCUUCCUAGAGUGCACCUAAGCAGGAAACUGAAAUGAGGGGUUAGUGUUGGGAUUCAAACUCAGCAUUCCACCAUGGAAUGCAGGCAUCUCAGCUGUUAGGACAAAUGCUCACUCCAUAAUUUUAAGCUUAUUUUGGCUAUUUACUCAAAUAGAAAGUUCUUUUAAAAAUGAUUUUAGAAGGGCUGAUGCUAUGGUAUAGUUGGCUUAGCCUCCUCAUGUAGUGCCAGCAUCCCAUAGGUGUUCUGGCUCAUGUCCUGGCUGCUCCUCUUCUGAUCUAGCUCUCUGCUAUGCCUGGGAAUGCAACAGAAGAUGAUCUGAGUGCUUGGACCCUGCACCAGCAUGGGAGACCCCAAAGAAUCUACUGGUUCCUGGUUUUAAAUUGGCCCAUCUCUGACCAUUGCAUCUAUUUAGGAAGUGAACCAGCAGAUGGAAGACCUUUCUAGCUAUCUUUCCCUCAUCUUCUGUACUCUGCAUCUCAAAUAAUUAAAAUAAAUUCUGUAAAAAUUAUUUUAGAAUAACAUUUUUUAAAGUAUUGUAAUUGUACAUAUUUAUGGGACAUGACAAGAUAAGGGAACACCUCAGGUUAGUUAGCAUUUUCAUCUUCUUAAAUAUUAAAUGGUUUUCUAAUAAUUGUACAUAAUUAUGAAGUGUAAUGUGAAAUUUCAACAAAUGUACAUCACAUGAGCUGGUAAAAUCAGUCAUUAACAUUUUCCCAUCUUUGCCGUUAGUUGAUGAUUACAGCAUAUAAGAACCCCUCUUUUUAUUUGCUCAAAAAAUAUCUAAUAGGUUAUUGUGAACUAUAGCCAUCCCACUCUGUUAUUUAAUACUAGGAACUUAUUCCUUCAAAAUCUGAUUUGGUACCCAUUAUUCAACCUCCUUUAAUCUAACAUACACACUUACCAUCCUACAAUUAUCAUUAUUUUGUGUUCAGAUCGACUUGUUUAGCUUCAACACAUGUAGGAUAAAGUGUAGUAUUUAUCAUUGUCUAUUUUGCAUAUUUGAAGUGACAUCAAAUCCAAAUCCAUCCAUUUUGCUGAAAGUUACAGAAUGUCAUCCUUUUUAUGGCUGAUAGUAUUCCAUUGUGAAUAUGUACUGCAUUUUCUUUUUUUUUUAACUUUUAUUUAAUGAAUAUAAGUUUCCAAAGUACAGCUUAUGGAUGACAAUGGCUUCCCCCCCAUAAAGUCCCUCCCACCCACAACCCUCCCCUUUCCCACUCCCUCUCCCCUUCCAUUCACAUCAAGAUUCAUUUUCGAUUCUCUUUAUAUACAGAUCAGUUUAGCAUACAUUAAGUAAAGAUUUCAGCAGUUUGCUCUCACACAGAAACAUAAAGUGAAAAAUACUGUUUGAGUACUAGUUAUAGCAUUAAAUCUCAAUGUACAGCACACUAAGGACAAAGAUCCUACAUGAGGAGUAAGUGCACAGUGACUCCUGUUGUUGACUUAACAAAUUGACACUCUUGUUUAUGGCCUCAGUAAUCACCCUAGGCUCUUGCCAUGAGCUGCCAAGGCUAUGGAAGCCCCCUGAGUUCACUGACUCUGAUCAUAUUUAGACAAGGCCAUGGUCAAAGUGGAAGUUCUCUCCUCCCUUCAGAGAAAGGUACCUCCUUCUUUGAUGACGCGUUCUUUCCACUGGGAUCUCACUCACAGAGAUCUUUCAUUUAGGUUUUUUUUUCCCCCCAGAGUGUUUUGGCUUUCCAUGCCUGAAAUAGUCUCAUGGGCUUUUCAGCCAGAUCCGCAUGCCUUAAGGGCUGAUUAUGAGGCCAGAGUGCUGUUUAGGACAUCUGCAUUCUACGGGUCUGCUGUGUAUCUCACUUCCCAUGUUGGAUUGUUCUCUCCCCU